rnacentral:tRNA from 1 species
AGGGGUGUGGCGCAAUGGUAGCGCAUCGGUUUCCAAAACCGACGGUUGUAGGUUCAAGUCCUACCGCCCCUGCCA